GUUGCCAGCGGAUCAUGCCGGGGACUCAUAGGAUACUGCCGGUGACAAACCGGAGGAAGGUGGGGAUGACGUCAAGUCAGCAUGCCCCUUAUGUCCAGGGCUACAAACGUGCUACAAUGGCCGGUACAAAGGGCUGCAAGACCGCGAGGUGGAGCGAAUCCCAAAAAGCCGGUCCCAGUUCGGAUUGGAGGCUGAAACUCGCCUCCAUGAAGUUGGAGUUGCUAGUAAUCGCGGAUCAGCAAUGCCGCGGUGAUACGUUCCGGCCUU
rnacentral:rRNA from 1 species